UUGUUGGAGAGUUUGAUCCUGGCUCAGGACGAACGCUGGCGGCGUGCUUAACACAUGCAAGUCGAACGAUGAAGCCUUCGGGUGGAUUAGUGGCGAACGGG
rnacentral:rRNA from 1 species